AUUGAACGCUGGCGCCAUGCCUAACACAUGCAAGUCGAACGGCAGCACGGACUUCGGUCUUGCGUCGAGUGGCGGACGGGUGAGUAAUACAUAGGAACGUACCCUGUUGUGGGGGAUAACUUGUCGAAAGAUUAGCUAAUACCGCAUACGACCUGAGGGUGAAAGUGGGGGAUCGGAAGAGGCCUCAUGCAGCAGUGACGCCCGGUGUCGGAUUAGCUAGUUGGUGGGGUAAAGGCCCACCAAGGCGACGAUCAGUAGCUGGUCUGAGAGGAUGAUCAGCCACACUGGAACUGAGACACGGCCCAGACUCCUACGGGAGGCAGCAGUGGGGAAUUUUGGACAAUGGGCGAAAGCCUGAUCCAGCAAUGCCGCGUGUGUGAAGAAGGUCUUCGGAUUGUAAAGCACUUUUAUCAGGAAAGAAAUCGAGUUGGUUAAUACCUGGCGGGGUUGACGGUACCGGAAGAAUAAGCACCGGCUAACUACGUG
rnacentral:rRNA from 1 species